rnacentral:rRNA from 1 species
UACGGGGGGGGGCAAGCGUUGUUCGGAAUUACUGGGCGUAAAGGGCUCGUAGGCGCCAUCUAAGUCGGACGUGAAAUCCCUCGGCUUAACCGGGGAACUGCGUCCGAUACUGGAUGGCUUGAGUUUGGGAGAGGGAUGCGGAAUUCCAGGUGUAGCGGUGAAAUGCGUAGAUAUCUGGAGGAACACCGGUGGCGAAGGCGGCAUCCUGGACCAACACUGACGCUGAUGAGCGAAAGCCAGGGGAGCAAACGGG